UGAGCCAUUUUAUUCAUCCGUUAAUACUCCGUUGAACAUCUGUUAUCCCCUUCACCUUCCCUCGCCACUCCUUAUUAAUCGCCUACUCCUUUACCCCAGACCUUUUCAGAUAUAUUGUAAUCAAAAUGGUUCGCCCCUUCAUCAUCUUCGAUUUUUUGUUACUGGUGAAGCACGGUACAUGACGGUCGGAGGAAUCCUUCUCAGGUGUGUUGUGACUGAGAGCAUGCUCCACCUAAAAAAGCCUAGAAUCCAUCUCCUCCCCUCCCCAAACCGCCCCUGCCUUCUCGGUUCAUUCUCAAUUUCUUUCAAACUGUGUUCGCUGGUGGGAACUGAAUUUUCAUGGACGGAUCGUUCAUCGUAGUAGGAGUGCUCUAUUCGAUUUCUCCAAGUGAGACAACUGCUGCAAGCUCUGUGUAGGUCGGUCAGGGUUGGUCCAUAGAUGUCAGAGCACAGGAAUUGGCUCUUCAGCAUUGGAUUGAAGCUGUUCCAUCUGUAUUAUGAAGAGUGGUGUAAAGCUGAGCUGGCCAACCAUUUUUUUACUGUGUUAUUAAUGGCUAAGAUGGAGCGAAGCGCAAGGGGUUGCUUGUAGCUUAUAAAAAAUCUAUAUGUAAAAAUGCUGGAAUAUUUUUAAGAGGUUUUCCUGAAAGAGUUAUAAGAAGUUGGAAGAGUUAUUUAAAACGGAGGCAAGUAUAAUUUAGCGCACACUCCACAAUUUCAAGGGCCGCUGAAUGCAAGCAACAAGAAAAGGCUUCUGCUGAGUUGCAGAUUUUGAGCUUUGUGGCUUUCGGAUUCCUAGAUAAAGAUGACACCAAUGCAUUUCCUAUAAAAGUUUGCUGCGAGUUUUUCAUUUUUUCCCCUCAAAGGCUGGUCAUAAUCUAUAAAUUAUUGAUCAUUGUGAUCUGCAUCUAUUAUGAAAUGAUUACAAAGUUAAGGGAGGUGCACCUGUGGUUCAUAAAUUCUCAGGUUAAAUUUUAGGGAUGGCAAGCAUGUUGAUCUUCCAAAAUGCCCCAGCUCCAAGUUUCACCAACAGCGUAUCAAGAUCAAAGCUUCGCCAACAGCACAUCAGGUACCUCGGACCUCAAGAGAGGGAACGCUAUGAAUAAGUUGUCAAGGAAAAAAAAGUGCAUCACUGGCCUCGAAUUUUUCUAGAUGCAAACAACAGAUUGCUAGGGGCAAAACGAAAAUUUGUGACGAGUGCUUCUCAGAAGCUCUAUGCUGGUGACGUAAGAUCACGGGGAAGAUGAAAAAUAUGUACUCAACUUCUUGUUCGUUAUUUGAUUUAUAUUUUUUUUAGUUACUCAAUUGUUUUUAUCAUGUCAUCUUUAUUUAGAAAAGGAAAGGAGUCUACACAAUAAUAUUUAAUUGUGUAUUUUGUUCUCCUUAAAUAUCUAUCAAGUCUAUUUUGGCAUACAGUGGACGUUACUAACCACUGAUGAAGGGCUUGACAGUUUUACCGUCGUUAAGGAUAAUGAGAAGUUCUUGUUGAAGCUCAGAGAUCGGUUUGAUAGGGACUGCUAAACACAAUCCAUUUACUACCGGAUAACAAGAAGAAACUAACAAUUCCUGACAAUGUUAGUGGAACCCUCCGGCCUUGCAGUGAUGUUUCAUAGGAUUGCAUUGCUUUUAGCCCACCGAGUACAGGAAAGACCACGCUGAUCAUGCUUGCUUUGGCUAGAAAGCUAGAUCCCACCCUUAAGGCGACAUCGAAGAAAGAUCAGAAACAGUACUGGCUAUACAAAGACUAGCCUGACAGGUUUAUAGCAUCCCAAGAAUUUGCUGAGGCUGCCCCAUCUUUUUAUGUCGGGAAACAUGUUGAGAAUGGUCUUGCAACCUCAUUUGACAGAGUUAAAAGCCAUCUUGCUGCUUUUACCACCCAAAGAUAUGAUAUUAACAAGACGGAAAUUAUGAAAGUCUUGACUGCAAAGAGAAAUUUGGCUUGCGGAGAGAAACUCAUUUGUUUACAUAUUUAAGUUGUGCGAAGUGAGUUUCCAGUAUUCUAUUUUUUUUUUGGCAGAUUUCUUUGUCUAAUUAUGUGUUAACUUUUAAAGAUAUUGGUAAUAUUGAUUGUGACAUUUUUGUGACCAACAAUGUACACUUGUAAAAAUAUUUCUGCUUAUGAUGAUGGCUAUAACUACUGUGA